rfam:Gasterosteus aculeatus cont1.015112, whole genome shotgun sequence.
UUUAAAGUGUAAUGUAAGUCGCUUUGGAUAAAAGCGUCUGCUAAAUGA